rnacentral:rRNA from 1 species
AGUGAACGCUGGCGGUAGGCCUAACACAAGCAAGUCGAACGGCAGCACAGAGGAGCUUGCUCCUUGGGUGGCGAGUGGCGGACGGGUGAGGAAUACAUCGGAAUCUACUCUGUCGUGGGGGAUAACGUAGGAAAACUUACGCUAAUACCGCAUACGACCUACGGGUGAAAGCAGGGGACCUUCGGGCCUUGCGCGAUUGAAUGAGCCGAUGUCGGAUUAGCUAGUUGGCGGGGUAAAGGCCCACCAAGGCGACGAUCCGUAGCUGGUCUGAGAGGAGGAUCAGCCACACUGGAACUAGGACACGGUCCAGACUCCUGCGGGAGGCAGCAGUGGGGAAUAUUGGACAAUGGGCGCAAGCCUGAUCCAGCCAUACCGCGUGGGUGAAGAAGGCCUUCGGGUUGUAAAGCCCUUUUGUUGGGAAAGAAAUCCAGCUGGCUAAUACCCGGUUGGGAUGACGGUACCCAAAGAAUAAGCACCGGCUAACUUCGUGCCAGCCGCCGCCGUAA